GGGGUGGGCCUCUUCGCUGGCUCUCCUGUUGCCAGAGAGAACACUGGGCCGAGUAGGACCGAGGUCCCAGGACUCACAGUCCAGUGCUCGCGUCCCCUGGCGGGCCCUCGCGGCCGGAGGGGCCUGGCGGGGCUCCCAGAACGGUGGGGGAGGGCGCCUGCGGCCCGGAUGCCCUCCCCUCCCGGGCCCGCGCUGCUCGGGCGGAUUCCCAGGCGGGCCAGAGCAGGAAGGCACAACAAUGGGCAGCCGGCAGCGGCGGGGAGCACGGUUCCGGAGGCAGGGUGCGGCCCGCCCCUCCACCGACACCGUGGGAAGGAGGCCCCUGCGCGGGGGACCAAUGAGAUUAACGGCUGCCACCGUUUGGACCCUUACUGUCUGCCGGGACCUGCCUUACCGCCUCCCGUGGCUUAUCUCCUGGGAUCCUCGUCUCACCCUAUUAUUUACAGAUGAAGCAAUGGAGGCCCAGAGUUUAAGUAAAACGCCCAAGCUUUUUAAGUCAUGAAUACAUCCCACGGUUGUCAAGUCCUGCCAUGCUGGGAAGAUCUUGUCCGUGCGCCCCGCCCACCCCGUCUUCCCCAACAGCUAAGGGGCCUGCAUUCCCACCACGCGCGCCCUGUCAUUGAGUUAAGAUGAUGCUGCUCUUGCUGCUGGCACAGGGCAGACCUCCCCCUGCUCCCCCCUCAGGCCUCCACUGUGCUCCUCUCAUGGGAAGUCACCCCCUCUCUGGGCUUCGGAUGGGAUGGGACAUCCUCCCCCAGCUUCCCUCAGCCCGGACGAUCGAGAUGUCAGGCCCAGGGACGGAAGUAUGCGACAAAUGCACGCCCGGCUCUAACCCUGGGCACCUCUUUAGGAGUCAGACCUAAGCUAGUGCUGGGCCAGGGCCCCCUCCCCCACUGUUAGCUCUCCUGCCCCAGCUGCCUCGCUACCCGCUACCCUCAGGCCGGGGCUGUGCUGGAGAGGCCCCUCACGUGAAGGGGGCUGAGCUCCAGUGCUCUGCCAGCCCCCAACUCCCAGUGACCUCUGUCAUCGGAGUUACCUUGUGGUUCCCCCGUGGCCACCCCGUUUCCAGCCUGUAGGAAAUGCCUCCCUAGUGUCCAGCUGCGGCAGAGCCCCCGCCGCCCCAGGCUGGGGCCCCAAGUGCCAUCUCUCAAUCCUGUCGCUCAGCCGUCUCCUUUCUGGUGGGCUGUGCUACAGCAGGGCUUGGUUAGAAAGCAGCCUCUGGCGCCUUGGUAGCGCAGUCGUUAAGCGUCUGCCUUCGGCUCAGGGCGUGAUCCCAGUGUUCCGGGAUCGAGUCCCGCAUCGGGCUCCUCCACUGGGAGCCUGCUUCUUCCUCUCCCACUCCCCUGCUGUGU